rnacentral:rRNA from 1 species
UGGAUUCAGAGGUGGGGUUGUGGGUCGGGUGUGGCCCGGCAGCUUGUCUCCGUGUGCCGCUCCCAAUCAACCCGCGUUUGCCCCAGCCUCCUAUCGCACGGAAACGGAGUCCUGCUGGGGUCUCCUUAACUGGGGGUUCCAGCGCUUCCGCGCACAACGUGCGCUUACGGACCGUCCGUGGACGUUACUGUGAACAAAACAGCGUGUUCAAAGCAAGUGGCUUGCCUGCCCUGCAUGUUAAAGCAUGGAAUAACAAGGCAUCGACCACUCGGCGGUGCUUUUGUUGGUCUUUCCCUCCCGGUGGGAAUGCGCAGGCGUGCACACUGCCGGCCUUCUGGCCGGUCUGGGUGCCGUCUCUUCGAGAUCAAUAGGGGCAAACGGGGAGAUACCUAUUGUGGGGAGAGCGGUGAAAUGCGAUGACCCCCAUAAGAGGAACUUCAGCGAAAGCAGUUCUCAAGACUGCCUUCGUUAAUCAAGAACGAGACUGUGGGGAUCAAAGAUGAUCAGAUACCGUCGUAGUCCACUAGCGUAAACGAUGCCGACUCAUCAUUGGGGGGCAUCUCUAACAAGCGCCCCCCAGUGGUUCUCCCC